AUUGAACGCUGGCGGCAGGCCUAACACAUGCAAGUCGAACGAGUGGCGGACGGGUGAGUAAUGUGUGGGAAACUGCCCGAUGGAGGGGGAUAACUACUGGAAACGGUAGCUAAUACCGCAUACCAUCGGAUGUGCCCAGAUGGGUUUAGCUUGAAGGUGGGGUAGCGGCUCACCUGGGCGACGAUCCCUAGCUGGUCUGAGAGGAUGACCAGCCACACUGGAACUGAGACACGGUCCAGACUCCUACGGGAGGCAGCAGUGGGGAAUAUUGCACAAUGGGCGCAAGCCUGAUGCAGCCAUGCCGCGGGUAUGAAGAAGGCCUUCGGGUUGUAAAGUACUUUCAGCGAGGAGGCGUUACCCGCAGAAGAAGCACCGGCUAACUCCGUGCCAGCCGCCGCGGUAAUAC
rnacentral:rRNA from 1 species